AAGAAGGUGACAGAGUGGUUAUGUGACUGGCUUGAAACCAGAGCAUGGGGGUUCAAUUCCUCCCCUUCUCG
rnacentral:tRNA from 1 species